UACGGGGGGGGCAAGCGUUGUUCGGAAUUACUGGGCGUAAAGGGCUCGUAGGCGGCCAACUAAGUCGGACGUGAAAUCCCCAGGCUCAACCUGGGAACUGCGCCUGAUACUGGAUGGCUUGAAUCCGGGAGAGGGAUGCAGAAUUCCAGGUGUAGCGGUGAAAUGCGUAGAUAUCUGGAGGAAUACCGGUGGCGAAGGCGGCAUCCUGGACCGGCAUUGACGCUGAGGAGCGAAAGCCAGGGGAGCAAACGGG
rnacentral:rRNA from 1 species